GAUGAAGAACGUAGCGAAAUGCGAUAAGUAAUGUGAAUUGCAGAAUUCAGUGAAUCAUCGAAUCUUUGAACGCACAUUGCGCCCUCUGGUAUUCCGGGGGGCAUGCCUGUUCGAGCGUCAUUAUAACCACUCAAGCUCUCGCUUGGUAUUGGGGUUCGCGGUUUCGCGGCCCCUAAAAUCAGUGGCGGUGCCUGUCGGCUCUACGCGUAGUAAUACUUCUCGCGAUUGAGUUCGAUAGGUCUACUUGCCAGUAACCCCCAAUUUUUACAGGUUGACCUCGGAUCAGGUAGGGAUACCCGCUGAACUUAAGCAUAUCAAUAGGCGGAGGA
rnacentral:misc_RNA from 1 species